UCAACUGCUGUUAAUUGAGAUAGAAAGUGAAGGAAGAGUUGAGAGAGUUUUUUGGUUAUGUUAAUGCUUGUUGCUGCUUACUACUGCUAAUGAUGAUAUUUGAUGUUAUCAAAGCCAUAAAGGUGGUGAUGAUUGCGAUGAGAAAGAUUUGUAAUUGUUGGGCUUUUUUUUGUAUUUCAAUGUCAUAACUGUUCUUCUUGAACAGUAAGCCUCAGGUAUUUAUAAUAAAAUAUCUCUUAGUAAUCGUUAAAUAUAACAUGAAUGAAAAUGAAGAUGAAACUAAAGAUGAGAUCGAAGCUGGUAUUGAAGAUGAAGAUACAUAAAGAUGUUUAAAAAAGGUUGGUAAUAGAAGGGAAAAAGUAAUGUCUGUUUUUAUGACGAUCAAGAUGCACAGAUGAAUUGGUCAUGAAGAGUGAAACAAAAAAGAUCUUAAAUUAAGAUUAAUGGACUGAUUGAAAGAUGAGGCGUAAAGGGUUAAUUUUCAUUACAAUUAACCGGGUUUUCUUUUUGGCAACAGGUAAAUGCACAACACAAAAUACACAAUAAUUAUUGAAAUAAUAAAUCAUUAACAGACAGCAAAGGGAAUCGUGAAAUAAAGAUGAAAUCAUAGAAAGAGAAGGGCAAAGAAAAUGAAAAAUUUAGAUACAAUCAUAUCAUUUGAAGUUUACUGAACAAAAUGGCGAACCUUUCAGGGUUAAAACAUUAGCUUGACCUCAACAAUUUAAAUAAUAUAAAUAUCACUGUUGUUGUUGGCACAUCAUUAGCACUUGCUAAUUAAUUGUUUAUUUAGUUUUGGUAUUUGGUUUCUUCAAAAUGUAUUAGGAACAACAAAACAGAUAAGAGAAUGUAAAGAGAAUUGAGAAAAAUUGUUUAAAAUUGAAAUGAUAAAGAGUUGAAAAACAAAAGAUAACAGACAGAGAUAACAGAAAAUGUUAAGAGACAAAAAACCGUUGAAAGUGGAAAAAUAAUGCGAACUCUUACUCACACCUUUAACAACUCUUUUUUCCCUCUCUUUUUAAACAGUGUUACCCACUCUGUAUCAGGUCAAUUGAAUUCAAGAUAUAAUCAAAUGGUCAUGAUUAUCAAGUUUCCAAUUCUUGGCCUUUUCUUGGUGUGUUCCCUCCAAUGUUAGCUCAUAUCAAAAUGGAGAUCGGUCAAAGCGUGUUUUUUCAGCAUCGUUCAAUCUUUCAGCUUUACUGCUAAAUCUCGUCAUUCUCAUCUCUGGUUUAAUCAACAAUUUUUUUACUAUCAACUUGUGACUCAUGAUUUGUUUCAUCGAUUAACUGGAAAUUUGAAUUUUAAUCUGACCCAAAGGGUUUUAUUUUUUGGCCCCAUUUACUCUUCUACAUCUAUUAAAAUAUCAGUAAAAGCUUAUAACUCUCACUUUGUGUUUCAUGGAAAACUGUCAACAGGAGAUAAUCGAGUUGGUGAACAUAAUCGGAAAUUUGCACGGUCAGAGGACGCACAUAAUCUUGAAAAGGCUAAUCAAAUUUUGCGUGAAUUUGUUUAAAGCCGAGAUGUCAUCGCCCCAUAAAUUGUUUUGACUCUUUCUGUCGAGAUGGUAAAAGAUGAUAGUUCAGGCUAUGACGUAGAUAGCUAUAUGGAUAGUUUCGCUGAAUGCUUUUCUCCCUGAAAUUUUAACUUUCGGAUAGAUAAAAAGUUUCUGAUAAUGAUCAAGCCAGCAAGGAGUGGAAUUAGACUUUUACCAUCAAAGAAUGGUAAAAGUUAUCCGGUUAAUCAUGAGAGUGACUUCCAUGUGAUUACUUUCAAUAACAGAAAUGUUUCACCAACAAUUCAAUAAUCUUCACAGUGUGGUCUUCCUACCCUGGACAGCCAAGAUAAAUCAACCAUGAAAAUGGUGUAUGAUUAGUUGAUUGAUGGAUCACCAGAAAACCCGUCAAGGUUAAUGAUGCCAUUUUGCUUGAAGCAACAAUAAGAUGAACUACAGUGAUAACCCUUCCACCAUCAACCGUUAUAAUUGUCACAACUGUAUCUUUCUACUUUAAAUAGUCAAAACUUAUUGAUGUGAAUUGAUUCGCAAUGUAACUUAAGAUCGUCUACCAAAAUACUGAGUACAUUUGUGUCACAUCAAUUCAAGUGGACACUGAUUAUUGGAUUAAUUUUAAGAGACACUUUUUUUUAUUCAUUAACUCUCAAGCCAGUUCAGAUAUAAUUUGUUUCAAAAAUGGCAAUUAAAACUUUCUCUUGAUCAUAUUUAAACUCUUCAAUUAUAUUUAACCGAUUGAGAUGCUGUUUGGUCAGUUAGUCGCAAAUCAAACUCUCAAUAUUUUGGUAAUAAAGAAAGGUUCAAUUGCAAGGAAACUGUUUUCCUCACAUGGGAGUCAUCAAUGUCGUUGAUCGUCUAAAGGUUAAUUCAUUGGAAAAUUUUGAUAAAACAGGAAUCAAGAUUAAUCCAUCUUUUCAUCACAUGAAUUUUCAGAGUAAAUGAAAUACUGGAAUCACAAGAAAGGCUUUGAUGAUGGAUAAAAUUUAAACAAACCUGCAAGGUAAAUAGACACGUUUGGAAAGCCUCUCUGCUUAAAUAUGGAUAUCGAAGUGAAAUUCAAAAUUAGCCAGUAAUCGGUUUUUUUGCAAAGUUAAAUGGAUUUCGGACAAUCUCCCAUCUUGCCUUCUCGUCAAUCAACAACCCAAAGUAUGCCAGUUUGCCAAGGAAAUGUUUCAGUUUUUCUUGAUCAACACUGAAAUCGGGAAAUUGAGAUUUAUUAAGAGAAAAGGAGAUUCUCAACAAAAAUAGUUAUCAACCAACCAACAUACCUGUCCACAGCUCUUAAAACACGAUCCAUUUCUGAUGCUCAUUUCUUCUUCUUCUCUUCUCUCUCUCUCCAUCAUCAUCCGCCUCAUUUCCUGCUGAUGAGGAUAAAGAUGAACUAACAAGGGAUAAGAUAGAUGAAGAUAAUGGGAUGCGUGUUAAUCGUCAUGACUAAGUGAGGCCUGAGAGGACCUGCAUAUCCGUGUCAACCUUAUUGUCGCAUGCUACCUUGUAGCGAUGCUCUGUCGUCUCUUAUCUUAUUAGAUUAUUUUGAUUCUUAUAUUAUGAUAAAUCAUCGUCUGUUACAUGUUUAUCAUAUUUUUUAAUCAUCACCCGACAAUUUGCUUUUUAAAAAAGCAAAAUGCAUUGUUUAACGCAAAACAUUUUUCAUAAGAAAGUUCAAUUAUGCAUAUGAUACAUGAUACAUAAUAUUAUGAUCCUAUUCAUUUAAACAAUGAACAAAUCAUAAUUUAUUAUCUGUAUCACCAAUUUUGCUACUUUGAAUUGGUUUUGCGUUUCAUUUGAAAGGCUUACAAAAAGUACAUUCAUAAGGAAUUAACUUUUUUAUCAGAUUUUAAAUAUCCAAUAGGUUCAGAUUAACCUGUUAACUAAUUAAAUUUUAUAGUUUUGAUGAAACAGCAAGACUCGGAUGAAAUCCCCAAUCAGAUUGGGAUCAAUUUAGAUAAUGGAAAAGUGUGAAAUGUAUUUUUUGCUUCUCAACCAUUGACCAAGUACACGAUAUCCCAUGAUGAUAUAUCUCAUGAAAAGGUUGUUUUCAAAGAGUUGAAAACACAUUGAUUGACAUAUUUACAUUCAAAGUGUUAGCUAACCUGAACUUAAUUAAUCCAUGAUAAUCUUGGAUGAUUCAAUCACAAAAAGUAUUGAUUAAUUUGGAUUAUUAAGUUUAUUUUUUUAAAUCAUUUCAACUUGAACAGAUUCAUUUAUUAAUAUCAACAAUAUACUAUCUCAAGGAAUCAAAUUUCAGUCGAUAGAUGAUUGUAUAUAAAAAGUUACACUCAAUACAAGUUUAUUAAUGAACUGUUAGUAAGAAGAUAACCUUUUCCAGUUUUUUCAGUUACAAAACUGUGAUUGUUUUGAUUAGUCCAAUUGAUUAAAUUCAGGGGAAUAUUUCAAUGUGAUUGAAGAAGUUUCACGGCAAACUGAGACAUCUAUUCAUUCAAGAAAUCUGGUUUACUGUAAUGAAAUUUGCAACAAAAAAUGAUAUUACACUAUCUUGAUGCAAAUCUUGAUUGAAAUCACUUCUAACCUAAUCCGAUCAACCUAAAACAACUAAUUAUCAGAAGAUUGAAAAUGCUGUACAAUUAAUAUUUUUGGCUUGUUCCUGAUUAAUCAAGUUAUUAAUUUCAUCUUUUUGCAACUUUUACAAUUUAAUUUAAGAAUGAAAGUUAAUUUGUAUUGUAGUUGAAUGUAUUUUUAUCUACAAAGCUGCGAAACAAAGUUCAUUCUGAUUGAAAGUAAAAGUUUGCUUUAUUUCAUUAUUUAUCCUGAAAGUUAAUCAGGAUAACUGAAUUAGGGUUGCUAUAGAAAUAGCAGUAAUUUGUAUCAUUAUUGAAGUAUUAAUAAUACUAUUUGAAUAUAUCUAAAAUCAUCUCUAUGAAUAAACUCCUCAAAGUAAACACUUGGUUUGAAGGUUUUAUUUUACUCAGAUGAUAAAAAACACUUUCAGUGUCAACAAAUUGUCACAUAACACACAUUAUCAUCAUGAUAAUUUUAUUAUUCUCA